AAUCAACGCUGGCGGCGUGCCUAACACAUGCAAGUCGAGCGCGAAAGGGGAGCAAUCCCCAAGUAGAGCGGCGAACGGGUGAGUAGCGCGUGGGUAAUCUGCCUCCGAGUGGGGAACAACACCGGGAAACUGGUGCUAAUACCGCAUGACAUCGUUGGACCUUCGGAUCUGACGAUCAAAGCCGGGGACCGCAAGGCCUGGCGCUUGGAGAGGAGCCCGCGUCCGAUUAGCUAGUUGGUGGGGUAAUGGCCCACCAAGGCUACGAUCGGUAGCCGGCCUGAGAGGGCGGACGGCCACACUGGGACUGAGACACGGCCCAGACUCCUACGGGAGGCAGCAGU
rnacentral:rRNA from 1 species